rnacentral:lncRNA from 1 species
CCGGGGCAAUUUCGUCACUUUUCGCGACGCUGUCGGAAUGGGCCGAAAUUUGGCUAGUUGGUCGGAAACAAAAAUCGUGCCGGGGAAAAUUUAGUCAUCUUUCGCGACAGUGUCGGAAUGGGCUAAAAUUUGACAAUUGAUCGGAAACAAAAAUCGCGUCGAGGGCAAUUUUGUCACUUUUCUCGACGCUGUCGAAAUGGGCUAAAAUUUGGCAGGUUGAUCGGAAACCAAAAU